rnacentral:rRNA from 1 species
AAUGGGAUUCCUUAAGUAAUUGCGAAUGAACAAGGACAUGCUUAGCUUGACAAUUGGAGCCUCUGGCUUCGACUUGUAUUUUUGAAAUGUAUUACCAACAGAGGUGCAGGUGUCAGCCUAUUGAAAGAAAGCGUCAAUGAGGGUGAGAAUCCUGUUUGUCAUGUGCAAUCCUCUGUGCACGGUGUAUGUUUGCUGAGUCACACUCCUUGGCAUUGGAAUGCAAAGUGGGUGGUAAGUUUCAUGUAAAGGUAAAUAUAGGAUUGAGACUGAUAGCACACAAGUACCAUGAGGGAAAUAUGAAAAGGACUUUGAAAAGAGAAUUAAAUGAGUUUGUAUUUGCUGAACAGAAAAUAAACAGAUUUGAUGUUGCUUGGUGAGAUUGUGGUGCUUGCUUGACAAUAGGUUUUGAUUGUGGGUGUGAUGAUUCUUGCUUUGCUUGCCAGUUUCUAUUUGUACAUUUGAUUACCCUUGCACAUGAAUGGUAAUUUUCCUGCGGGGUUUGGAUUGCAUGUGUUUGUGAUGAUUUGUGUUUUGAUACAUGUGUCUGGUGCUUUUGUAAUUGCUCAUUUCUUGAAGUGGGCCUACCCUACUAGAGCUUACAAGCCCUGGCACACAAUUGCUGGCAAAAUGCUUCUGCUUGACCCG